AAUCAACGCUGGCGGCGUGCCUCAGACAUGCAAGUCGAACGAUUAAAGCUCUCUUCGGAGAGUGUAUAGAGUGGCGCACGGGUGAGUAACACGUAAGUAAUCUACCCUCGAGUGGGGAAUAACAACCGGAAACGGUUGCUAAUACCGCAUAAUGCAGCGGCACCGCAAGGUGACAGUUGUUAAAGAUUUAUCGCUUGAGGAGGAGCUUGCGGCAGAUUAGCUAGUUGGUAGGGUAACGGCUUACCAAGGCUACGAUCUGUAACCGGUCUAAGAGGACGGUCGGUCACACUGACACUGGAUAACGGGUCAGACUCCUACGGGAGGCAGCAGUCGGGAAUUUUGGGCAAUGGGCGAAAGCCUGACCCAGCAACGCCGCGUGAAGGAUGAAGUAUUUCGGUAUGUAAACUUUGAAAGAAUAGGAAGAAUUAAUGACGGUACUAUUUAUAAGGUCCGGCUAACUACGUG
rnacentral:rRNA from 1 species